GUAGGUGAAAGCGGGCCUCUAUAUAUAAGCUCGCGCUCCGGACGGGUCCGCGUCCCAUCAGCUAGUUGGUGAGGUAACGGCUCACCAAGGCAACGACGGGUAGCUGGUCUGAGAGGAUGGCCAGCCACACUGGAACUGAGACACGGUCCAGACUCCUACGGGAGGCAGCAGUGGGGAAUCUUGCGCAAUGGGCGAAAGCCUGACGCAGCGACGCCGCGUGGGCGAAGAAGGCCUUCGGGUUGUAAAGCCCUGUGGGGGAGAACGAACCGUACGGGGGGCGAACACCCUCCGUGCCUGACGGUACUCCUUUAGCAAGCAUCGGCUAACUCUGUGCCAGCAGCCGCGGUAAGACAGAGGAUGCAAACGUUGCUCGGAAUUACUGGGCGUAAAGCGCGUGUAGGCGGUCUGAUAAGUCGGACGUGAAAUCCCGGGGCUCAACCCCGGAAGAGCGCUCGAUACUGUCUGACUUGGGUUCUGAAGAGGAGAGCGGAAUUCCCGGUGUAGAGGUGAAAUUCGUAGAUAUCGGGAG
rnacentral:rRNA from 1 species